GUCAUACUACGGUGCAACGUCCAGUAAAGUAAACGAUGACCCAUAAUGAACUUCGGGGUAAAAUACCCAUCAAAUGAAAAAUUGCUGCUGACCUGGGGAGUGUUUCCCGGGUCGGUUUCUUUU
rfam:Klebsiella pneumoniae ISC21, WGS project CBWQ01000000 data, contig: c24